AGGAUAGUCAAACCUAGAAAUCCAUCAUGCCCUACACUUUAAGGUACUUAAUUGCUGGUUAUCAAUUUUAGGACUCGGGACUUUGGUUUUUCUAAAGGGGUUCUUGAAAUUCCGGAAGAUGGGAAAAGAUAAAGAUGUGAAUCAGAAGCUGGGGUUAAAGAGGGUUUCUUAAAAAGGUCUCCCAUAGCUCUCGCAUAGAGCCCUCAAUAGUAGGGAGGUGAGCCCAGAAAGCUGCUCCCACUCCAUCCACACCAUUUCGGCCACAUUUACCAACGGCCACCAAGGACAAAAGAAACAACUGGAGGCAGAGGAGGCCAUUUGUGACUCUAAAUUCCGCCUGCAAGACAUCUGCCUCACACUGACUGGGAGCUAAUCCUAAGGAAACUAUCUUCUACUGCCUGGACACAACUGAAGCCAGGGACAAAGGAUUCUUCACAACCAAGAAAAGCUGGUUCUGACAAUGACAUACUCUGGACCACCUGGGCCUGGAGAGACAGUCCCAUUGCGUGGACGAAAAAAGGCCUGGGAUGUCACUGAAUUUAGCAGCCAGAUCAUAGCAAGACAGAAGGGAGAAAAUGCAUAGACAACACUUCAGUGACUCACUCAUGUUUGAUGAAAGCUGGGAGGAGGCCUGGAGAAUCCAAGCUACAAGCACAAAACGUACAAAUACUGGAAUCUCCCGUCAAGAGAAGGAAAUUUAGCCACCUAUCUGGUUUGUCAUUUUGCUGAACUUCCACUGAAGGAGGAAGGGCCAGGUUUAAACUCCACCCACCCUUUCCA